UCGUCUUCUGUCCAAGUUGGUCGUGUCCCUGCACCAAAGUGAGCAGUAGCCAACAUGUCAGGGUGGGAGUCCUAUUACAAAACCGAGGGCGAUGAAGAAGCAGAAGAACAAGAAGAGGAUAACCUUGAAGCAAGUGGAGACUACAAAUAUUCAGGAAGAGAUAGUUUGAUUUUUUUGGUUGAUGCCUCCAGGGUUGUGUUUGAAUCUCAAAGUGAAGAUGAGUUGACUCCUUUUGACAUGACCAUCCAGUGUAUCCAAAGUGUGUACAUCAGUAAGAUCAUAAGCAGUGAUCGAGAUCUCUUGGCAGUGGUGUUCUAUGGUACCGAGAAAGACAAAAAUGCAGUGAAUUUUAAAAAUAUUUAUGUCUUACAGGAGUUGGAUAAUCCAGGUGCAAAACGAAUUCUAUAGCGUGACCAGUUUAAGGGGCAGCAGGGACAGAAACGUUUCCAAGAGCUGAUGGGCCACGGAUCUAGCUAGUCACUCAGUGAAGUGCUGUGGGUCUGUGCCAACCUCUUUAGUGAUGUCCAGUUCAAGAUGAGUCAUAAGAGGAUCAUGCUUUUCACCAAUGAAGACAACCCCCANUGCACCUGAAGAAACCUGGGGGCUUUGACAUAUCCUUGUUCUACAGAGAUAUUAUCAGCAUAGCAGAGGAUGAGGACCUCAGGGUUCACUUUGAGGAAUCCAGCAAGCUAGAAGACCUGCUGCGGAAGGUUCGCGCCAAGGAGGCCAGGAAGCGAGCACUUAGCAGGUUAAAGCUGAAGCUCAACAAAGAUAUAGUGAUCUCUGUUGGCAUUUAUAAUCUGGUCCAGAAGGCUCUCAAGCCUCCUCCAAUAAAGCUCUAUCGGGAAACAAAUGAACCAGUGAAAACCAAGACCUGGACAUUUAAUACAAGUACAGGCGGUUUGCUUCUGCCUAGCGAUACCAAGAGGUCGCAGAUCUAUGGGAGUCGUCAGAUUAUACUGGAGAAAGAGGAAACAGAAGAGCUAAAACGAUUUGAUGAUCCAGGUUUGAUGCUCAUGGGCUUCAAGCCCUUGGUAAUGUUGAAGAAGCACCAUUACCUGAGACCCUCCCUGUUCGUGUACCCAGAGGAGUCUCUGGUGAUUGGGAGCUCAACCCUGUUCAGUGCUCUGCUCAUCAAGUGUCUGGAGAAGGAAGUCGAAGCAUUGUGCAGAUACACACCCCGGAGGAACAUCCCCCCUUAUUUUGUGGCUUUGGUUCCACAGGAUGAGGAGUUGGAUGACCAGAAAAUUCAGGUCACUCCUCCAGGCUUUCAGCUGGUAUUUUUACCAUUUGCUGAUGAUAAAAGGAAGAUGCCCUUUACUGAAAAAAUCAUGGCAACUUCAGAGCAGGUGGACAAGAUGAAGGCUAUUGUUGAGAAGCUCUGCUUCACAUACAGAAGUGACAGCUUUGAGAACCCCAUGCUGCAGCAGCACUUCAGGAACCUGGAGGCCUUGGCCUUGGAUUUGAUGGAGCCUGAAUAAGCAGUGGACCUGACAUUGCCCAAGGUUGAAGCAAUGAAUUAAAGACUGGGUUCCCUGGUGGAUGAAUUUAAGGAGCUUGUUUACCCACCAGAUUACAAUCCUGAAGGGAAAGUUACCAAGAGAAAACACGAUAAUGAAGGUUCCGGAAGCAAAAGGCCCAAGGUGGAGUAUUCAGAAGAAAAGCUGAAGACCCACAUCAGCAAGGGCACACUGGGCAAGCUCACUGUGCCCAUGCUGAAAGAGGCUUGCCGGGCAUACGGGCUGAAGAGUGGGCUGAAGAAGCAGGAGCUGCUGGAAGCCCUCAUCAAGCACUUCCAGGACUGACCAGAGGCCGUACACACAGCCAUCCUUCCACAGUGUGGCCAGGCUGCCUGGCCUUGUUCUCAGCCAGUUAAAAUGUGUUUCUCCUGAGCUAGAAAGAGUCUACCCGACAGAAGUCGAGGGACUUUAUGUUUUUGAGGCUUUCUGUUGCCAUGGUGAUGGUGUAGCCCUCCUACUUUGCUGUUCCUUACUUUACUGCCUGAAUAAAGAGCCCUAAGUUUGUACUAG